rnacentral:rRNA from 1 species
GCCCGCUCAGAAACUUAAAGGAAUUGACGGGGCCCGCACAAGCGGUGGAGUAUGUGGUUUAAUUCGAUGCAACGCGAAGAACCUUACCUGGUCUUGACAUCCCGGAGACCCUUAGGAAACUAGGGGGUGCUUCCAUCUGGAAGAAUCUGGAGACAGGUGCUGCAUGGCUGUCGUCAGCUCGUGUCGUGAGAUGUUGGGUUAAGUCCCGCAACGGGCGCAACCCUUGCCUUUAGUUGCCAGCAGUUCGGCUGGGCACUCUAAAGGGACUGCCGGUGUUAAACCGGAGGAAGGUGGGGAUGACGUCAAGUCCUCAUGGCCUUUAUGACCAGGGCUACACACGUACUACAAUGGCCGAUACAAAGGGCAGCGACACUGCGAGGUGAAGCCAAUCCCGUAAAAUCGGUCUCAGUCCGGAUUGGAGUCUGCAACUCGACUCCAUGAAGUUGGAAUCGCUAGUAAUCGUGGAUCAGCAUGCCACGGUGAAUACGUUCCCGGGCCUU